rnacentral:rRNA from 1 species
AACUUAAGCAUAUCAAUAAGCGGAGGAAAAGAAACCAACAGGGAUUGCCCCAGUAACGGCGAGUGAAGCGGCAACAGCUCAAAUUUGAAAUCUGGCCCUCGGGUCCGAGUUGUAAUUUGUAGAGGAUGCUUUUGGCGAGGUGCCUUCCGAGUUCCCUGGAACGGGACGCCAUAGAGGGUGAGAGCCCCGUCUGGUUGGACACCGAGCCUCUGUAAAGCUCCUUCGACGAGUCGAGUAGUUUGGGAAUGCUGCUCAAAAUGGGAGGUAUAUGUCUUCUAAAGCUAAAUAUUGGCCAGAGACCGAUAGCGCACAAGUAGAGUGAUCGAAAGAUGAAAAGCACUUUGAAAAGAGGGUUAAACAGUACGUGAAAUUGUUGAAAGGGAAGCGCCUAUGACCAGACUUGGGCCCGGUGAAUCAUCCAGCGUUCUCGCUGGUGCACUUUGCCGGGCACAGGCCAGCAUCAGUUUGGCGCGGGGGAUAAAGGUUUCGGGAAUGUGGCUCCCUCGGGAGUGUUAUAGCCUGUUGCGUAAUACCCUGCGCCGGACUGAGGUACGCGCAUUGCAAGGAUGCUGGCGUAAUGGUCAUCAGCGACCCGUCUUGAAACACGGACCAAGGAGUCGUCUUCGUAUGCGAGUGUUCGGGUGUCAAACCCCUACGCGUAAUGAAAGUGAACGCAGGUGAGAGCUUCGGCGCAUCAUCGACCGAUCCUGAUGUUCUCGGAUGGAUUUGAGUAGGAGCAUACGGGGCCGGACCCGAAAGAAGGUGAACUAUGCCUGUAUAGGGUGAAGCCAGAGGAAACUCUGGUGGAGGCUCGCAGCGGUUCUGACGUGCGAAUCGAUCGUCAAAUAUGGGCAUGGGGGCGAAAGACUAAUCGAACCUUCUAGUAGCUGGUUUCCGCCGAAGUUUCCCUCAGGA